UACGUAGGGGGCCAGCGUUGUCCGGACUUACUGGGCGUAAAGCGCGCGCAGGCGGUCGUGUAGUGUGCCGUGUGAAAGCGCCGGGCUACUCCCGGCGAGGUCAUGGUAGACAGCACGACUUGAGCCUCGGGAGAGGUCGGUGGAAUUCCGGGUGGGAGCGGUGAAAUGCGUAGAGAUCCGGAGGAACACCAGGGGCGAAGGCGGCCGACUGGCCGAGUCGCUGACGCUG
rnacentral:rRNA from 1 species